rnacentral:rRNA from 1 species
UACGUAGGGUGCGAGCGUUAAUCGGAAUUACUGGGCGUAAAGCGUGCGCAGGCGGUUCUCCAAGUCCGUUGUGAAAGCCCCGGGCUCAACCUGGGAAUGGCAGUGGAAACUAGGGGACUGGAAUCUGGCAGAGGGGGGUGGAAUGCCGCGUGUAGCAGUGAAAUGCGUAGAGAUGCGGCGGAACACCGAUGGCGAAGGCAGCCCCCUGGGCUGAGAUUGACGCUCAGGCACGAAGCGUGGGGAGCAAACAGG